rnacentral:rRNA from 1 species
CCUACGGGUGGCAGCAGUGAGGAAUAUUGGUCAAUGGGCGCUAGCCUGAACCAGCCAAGUAGCGUGAAGGAUGACUGCCCUAUGGGUUGUAAACUUCUUUUAUAUGGGAAUAAAGUGCAGUAUGUAUACUGCUUUGCAUGUACCUUAUGAAUAAGGAUCGGCUAACUCCGGGCCAGCAGCCCCGGUAAUACGGAGGAUCCGAGCGUUACCCGGAUUUCUUGGGUUUAACGGGAGCGUAGGCGGGUUGUUAAGUCAAUUGUGAAAUGUUGUGGCUCAACCGUACAAUUGCAGUUGAUACUGGCAUCCUUGAGUGCAGUAGAGGUAGGCGGAAGUCGAGGUGUAGCGGUGAAAUGCGUAGAUAUCACGAAGAACUCCGAUUGCGAAGGCAGCCUGCUGGACUGUAACUGACGCUGAUGCUCGAAAGUGUGGGUAUCAAACAGGAUUAGAUACCCCUGUAGUC